GACGAACGCUGGCGGCGUGCUUAACACAUGCAAGUCGAACGGAAAGGCCCUGCUUUUGUGGGGUGCUCGAGUGGCGAACGGGUGAGUAACACGUGAGUAACCUGCCCUUGACUUUGGGAUAACUUCAGGAAACUGGGGCUAAUACCGGAUAGGAGCUCCUGCUGCAUGGUGGGGGUUGGAAAGUUCCGGCGGUUGGGGAUGGACUCGCGGCUUAUCAGCUUGUUGGUGGGGUAGUGGCUUACCAAGGCUUUGACGGGUAGCCGGCCUGGGAGGGUGACCGGCCACAUCGGCACUGGGAUACGGCCCCGACCCCUACGGGUGGCAGCAGUGGGGAAUAUUGCACAAUGGGCGGAAGCCUGAUGCAGCAACGCCGCGUGCGGGAUGACGGCCUUCGCGUUGUAUACCGCUUUCGCCUGUGACGAAGCGUGAGUGACGGUAAUGGGUAAAGAAGCACCGGCUAACUACGUG
rnacentral:rRNA from 1 species